CCUACGGGAGGCUGCAGUGGGGAAUAUUGCACAAUGGGGGAAACCCUGAUGCAGCAACGCCGCGUGAGCGAAGAAGGCCUUCGGGUCGUAAAGCUCUGUCCUCAGGGAAGACAAAUAACGGUACCUUAGGAGGAAGCCCCGGCUAACUACGUGCCAGCAGCCGCGGUAAGACGUAGGGGGCGAGCGUUAUCCGGAAUCACUGGGCGUAAAGGGUGCGUAGGCGGCCAAUUAAGCCAGGGGUGAAAGGCUACGGCUCAACCGUAGUAAGCCUGUGGAACUGAAUGGCUUGAGUGCAGGAGAGGAGAGUGGAAUGCCGAGGGUAGCGGUGAAAUGCGUAGAUAUUAGGAGGAACACCAGUGGCGAAGGCGACUCUCUGGACUGGAACUGACGCUGAGGCACGAAAGCGUGGGGAGCAAACAGGAUUAGAUACCCUUGUAGUC
rnacentral:rRNA from 1 species